UUAGUUGAUCUUACUAGUAGUCAUAUGUCUGUCUCAAAGAUUAAGCCAUGAAUGUAUAAAUAUAAAUUGUUUUAUAUUGUGAAAUUGUGAAUGGCUUAUUAAAUCAAUAAUAGUUUAUUUGAUAGUACCUUACUACUCAGAUAACUAUAGUAAUUCUAUAACUAAUAUGUGUAAAGAGUCCUGACUUUCAGAAGGGAUGCACUUACUAGAUUCAAGACUAAUGUGUGCUCAUUUAUAUUCUCAGUGGUUCAUGAUAACUUGUCAAAUCAUAUGAUGCUUUAUUUCGUUAAAGUGGGACUUAUUCAGUAAAGUGGGACAUUAAUUAGCAUGUGUCCACAUGCCAUUUACUAGUACUUAAUUAAUAUUUAUUAAUAUUUCUAUCAGUUUUUUAAUUUAUUUUUUUAUAUUUCACAAUAUUAUAACACAAAAUCAUAUGAAAAGUUUUUAAUUUAUAAAUUAUAAAGUUAAAACUUCAAUUUUUUAUUGUUGUUAUAAAAAUGGCAUGUGGCCACACACCAUAAGUGGGAUAAUGAAAAGUCCCACUUUAACGAAAUAAAGCAUUAUGGUCCUCGUGUCAGUGAUACUUAAAUUAAAUUUCUGCCCUAUCAACUUUUGAUGGCUAUCAUAGUGGUGAUAGGUAAUAGGGAAUUAGGGUUUGAUUUUGAGACAUAGCUACCACAUCCAGGGAAGGUAGCAAACGCACGAAUUAUCCAAUUCUGACAGGGAGGUACUGACAAUAAAUAAUAAUACCGGCCUUUCAAAAUUUGGUAAUUGGAAUGAGUAUAAUAUAAAUCUCUUAAGGAAGAUUCAUUAGAGGGCAAGUCUAGUGCCAAUAGCUAUAGUAAUUCUAAUUCUAAUAACAUGUUAUUAUAGUUGAAAAAGCUCAUUUGGAUCUCAAGACAAGAUGAAUGGUUUCCCUGUAUGCACUAGUCACCCCAUUCUAUGAGUCAAUGAUGCUAAUUUGAUCUUUACUGGCUAGGGUGUGGAGUCGACAAUGUUAUUUUGAAAAAAUUAAAGUGCUCAAAACAGACUCAUACUCUAAAUACAUUAGUAUGGAAUAAUGUAAUAGGACUCUGAUCUUGUUGUGUUGGUCUCCAAGAUAUGAGUAAUGAUUAGUAGGGACAAUUGGGGGCAUUUGUACUCUCCAAGAUAUGAGUAAUGAUUAGUAGGGACAAUUAGGGGCAUUUAUACUCUAUUGUUAGAGAUGAAAUUCUUAAGCAUUUGCUGAGGAUGUGUAGCACACCUUAUUUCUCUCCCCUUAAGUCAACUGGAAAAGGGGCAAUUGCUUAAUGAAAGAGCCCUUAGUGGUUAUUUUAUCCCCAAAGGUUUCAAGGAUCCAUGGUGACAGUAUAUCUAAAUUUCAUCCCAUGAUCACAUGUGCUACACUCACCCCCCCUUUCACCCCCCCUUUAGAGAUGUCAAUGUCCUCAUUGACUAUUGACUAUUGACUAACAACCCCCUAUUGAGCCAAGGGGAACCAACACCUCCAUUUCCCGUACUGCAGUCCCACGGUAGAUACUUUCGUCCGUAUUCCAUAUGAGGCAACUAGUCAUCCACUCGUACCGUAGUCCCAUGGUGGAUACCUUCGUCUGUAUUCCAUGCCGUAUUCCAUGUGAGGCAACUAGUCAUCCACCCAUACUGCAGUCCCACGGUGGAUACUUUCGUCCAUGGAUACUUCGUCCAGUCGUUGAAAAUAUUCCCAGAUUUGAGAUGCAAGAGGGCGGGGUGGCCGAGGCACAAUGAAGAUUCCAGUCGCUGAAAAUAUUCCCAGAUUUGAGAUGCAAGAGGGCAGGGUGGGGGUGGCCGAGGCACAAUGAAGAUUCCCAAGUCUGGAUUUGCAAACCCAAGUCUGGAUUUUUUUGCAAAUCCGUUUGAGGUUCACACAAGAGGAAGGACGCCCAAUAUGUACAAUUUCAAAUUUAGGGGUAAGAAUAUACCUUACUCAAGGGUAUAUUAUAUUUUUAAGUAACCACUAAUCAAUAGGAAUCGAACCCGUGCCAUUUGUUCCAAUACCAACUAUAACGCACCUUAUCUCUCUCCCCUUAAGCCAAUUGGAAAAGGGGCAAUUAUUUAAUGAGAGAGCCCUUAGUGGCUAUUUUAUCCUCAUUUAUCCCCUAAGGUUCCAAGGAUCCACGAUGACAGUAUAUCCAAAUCUCAUCCCAUGAUCACAUGCACUACAUGAUGCUUUUAUUAAUCAAGAAUGAAAAUUAGGAGCUCAAAUACGAUUAAAUACCAUUUUAGUCUUAACCAUAGAUGAUGAUGAUUAGGGAUUGGCAGAUGUUAUUUGGAUGACAACGCCAUCACCUCAUGAAAAAUCAAAGUCUUUGAGUUCCA
rfam:Selaginella moellendorffii unplaced genomic scaffold SELMOscaffold_144, whole genome shotgun sequence.